rnacentral:tRNA from 1 species
GGGCCCUUAGCUCAGCUGGUUAGAGCAGUGGACUCAUAAUCCAUUGGUCCGGGGUUCAAGUCCCUGAGGGCCCA